rnacentral:lncRNA from 1 species
AAAUAUCACCUUUAAGGAUGUCUGUGACACUCCACUCCUUUACCCAUUUCUUGUUUCUUCCCUCUCCCCAGAUCCAGUAGAAUCUACUUGGAUGGCAGUUCCGAGGACCACUUCGUGGUGUGGACCCUUCGCAGGGCUACACUUCUGAGGUUCCCAACAGCAUCUGGUGCACUCGCAAUGGCUUUUUAUAUCAGUUCAUAGCUACCCAUCAGAGAGAUUGUAGAAUCAUCUAACCUGAUGCGUUGUGGGAAGAUUCUAUUAAAAACUCAUAAUCUGACUGUGGCUGUGGCUGUGCGUUCAUCUCUGAUGAUCUUUGGAACUGGCUUUGACUUAUCUGAGAUGGUACAUGUUGCACUCACCUCCUCCCGCAAGGAAAAACGCAACAAGAUCUUCUGCAUCUCAUCGAACUCAAAUACCAACCAUGAAGCUUUCCCAGAGGCCAUUCUUUCUACUCCUGCCUUCCUGGCCCACAAUACUCCCACGGAAGAGAUCUGUUCACCUUUCCAGAUAUAUUGUCCAUGUGUUAAUUCUCUUUCAGGGAUGUUAUUGUCCCUCCUCAGGGUUGUAUCUGCUUCUCAGGGAACUACAUCAGUCUAAACACCAAUUAUCAAUGCAGUUCAAAUUUUUACCUAUGAAGAAGCUCCUCACCCAGGGUGAAUUAGUGGGUGCACGGCAAUGUGUUUACAGAAGGAUUUACUAACACAAGGCCUAGCAGAACGCCUUUGCAUCCAUCACGUAGUGACUGCACUAAAACAGUCUGUUGUCAUUCUCCCUUCACCGUGCUGUGAAUAUCUAGAUGGUGAGAAUUAUAUCAGAUUCACAUUUAUGUCAUGAGUGUAUAGUGAGGCAACAGUUAUGUUUGGAGGCAUUGAACACAAAGUCACUGAGUUUCAUUGAUCUUUUAAAACCAGAACUCUUCUAGUAGAAGACUUCGGGUAGGGGCAGGCUAUUCUGCCUCUCAGGGUGAUCCUUCAAGGCCUUUAUUUGCUAGGUCAUUGUUCAGAAAACAAGAUAAAAUCCUACAGACUUUUUCUUAGCAUUUAGAAUCUGUAUGUAGAUUUCAUAUACUUGUUCCCACAGCCUAUUCUGAUCCUAGUUGGUAGCAAUAAGCACUGACAUUCUUGGAAAUGCAGUUUGACUAAGAAUGUUUUAUCAGUUUUUGUGACCAUAUUAUAAUAAGAAAAUGGGCAUGACUGGAUUUACUGUCAGCUGAAAGAUGUGUGUUUGAUAUAUAUUUGAUCAUGAAAGACUAAUAUGUUGUGGCAGCAAAUGUAGUUUAAUGAUACUUUUAAAAAUUUAGGAUUUCAAUGUCAGAGAAGCAAACUGGAAACUCAAUAUGUAUGCACUCUGUGCCUUUUGUCUUCUUGUAAGAAUCUGUCAAUUAUCUUACCCCAAAUAAAAGUCUACUGCACUAAAACUCACUUGACAGAAACAUAAAUAAUGGCAUAAUUACAAAUAAAUUCUGAAAUUAGUUUACAUUUUUAAAUGUACAGGUCAGGAUAUGUAUAGAAAAGUGUAAACAUGUAGAUAUUAUUACUUCAUUGUCUAUGAUUAUUUCCAGUAAAUUAGUUUAUAAAUUCCAGAUUCUUUUUAACUCAAUGGCAUGAAAUAAUGUGAACAAAUACCUGGCUUUCAGAAGG